GGGGCUGUAGCUCAGCUGGGAGAGCACCUGCUUUGCAAGCAGGGGUCGUCGGUUCGAUCCCGUCCAGCUCCACCA
rnacentral:tRNA from 1 species